GUUAAAAAGCUCGUAGUUGGAUUUCGGCGGGUAGUGGUUGGUUUGAAUUGAUUCAACACUGACUUUUUUACCCGUGUGUUUUGCCAGAAUCUUACGGGUGAUCUUUACCGAUUGUCCGUUGGAACUGGCAGGUUUACUUUGAAAAAAUUAGAGUGCUCAAAGCAAGCUUACUGCUCGAAUAGUUGCGCAUGGAAUAAUAGAAUAGGAAGUCGUUUCUAUUUUGUUGGUUUUCGGAAAUCGACUUAAUGAUUAAUAGGGAUAGUCGGGGGCAUUUGUAUUCAACGACAGAGGUGAAAUUCUUGGACCGUUUGAAGACGAACUAAGGCGAAAGCAUUUGCCAAGAAUGUUUUCAUUAAUCAAGAACGAAAGUUAGAGGUUCGAAGGCGAUUAGAUACCGCCCUAGUUCUAACCAUAAACGAUGCCAGCUAGCGAUCUGCCGGCGCUUAAUUUUCUGGCCUGGCAGGGAGCUUCCGGGAAACCAAGCUGUGGUC
rnacentral:rRNA from 1 species